CUUGGAUGAUAACGUCCCUUCCAAUUUGAAGAUUCUAUAAUUUCCAACUUAGGCAACUGACAUAAGCUCAAGUCCACACAUUUGCCCUGAGCCCCUGCUAAGUAGCAAGUGUUGUGGAAGCAAAGCAUGCUGCCCAAGGGUGCACAGUCUAGGAGGAAGGGGCCGACAGGACUGUGCCCACACUUUUCACUGGGUGGGAUGUUAGCAGAGCUCAAAUCCUUAUGAACCCAAACUCCCAAGCCACUGGAUCCGGUGAGAUGGCUGGAACUCAGCAGGGUCAGCAUGAGGAACACCGCGAGGACUGCUGAAACACCACAUUCCCAUGGCUGCCGCAGGACAGCGGGGUGGCUGGAAGGCACAGUGUCUGUGAAACUGUGGUCCUCGGCAAGGGGUGUGACCUCAUGGUGGGUCGCCUGACCUAUGAGCAGAGAUGGAAGGAAGAAUGCCAAUUUGGAGGCAGAUGUGGGAAGUAGGAGUGCUGUGGCAACACGGUGUGGAAAUAGGGAGUUCUCUUCAGGCGUGAUGCUCACAGUUUACAUAAAUCUAUUGAUCUAUGUAUUUACCUGCCUACCUCUAUGUGUGCGUUUGUCUGGGUGUGGGGUGGAGCAGUGUGAGGUGGGUUCAGGAACCGUGUUUGUGAGGGCUGUCUGGGGAGACAGAACCAAUAGGAGCUAUAUCUGUACUGAUAUUGGUAUCUCUACUGAUAUAGAUAGAUGAGAGGGGAUGUAUUAGGGGAAUUGGCUCACACGACCUUGGUGACUGAGAAGUCCCACCACAGUCCAUCUGCAAGCUGGAGACCCUGGGACGCAGGUAGUGUGGCUUCACAGCAAGUUCAAA
rnacentral:lncRNA from 10 species